GACGAACGCUGGCGGCGUGCUUAACACAUGCAAGUCGAACGGAAAGGCCCUGCUUUUGUGGGGUGCUCGAGUGGCGAACGGGUGAGUAACACGUGAGUAACCUGCCCUUGACUUUGGGAUAACUUCAGGAAACUGGGGCUAAUACCGGAUAGGAGCUCCUGCUGCAUGGUGGGGGUUGGAAAGUUUCGGCGGUUGGGGAUGGACUCGCGGCUUAUCAGCUUGUUGGUGGGGUAGUGGCUUACCAAGGCUUUGACGGGUAGCCGGCCUGAGAGGGUGACCGGCCACAUUGGGACUGAGAUUGGGCCCAGACUCCUACGGGAGGCAGCAGUAGGGAAUAUUGCACAAUGGGCGGAAGCCUGAUGCAGCAACGCCGCGUGCGGGAUGACGGCCUUCGGGUUGUAAACCGCUUUCGCCUGUGACGAAGCGUGAGUGACGGUAAUGGGUAAAGAAGCACCGGCUAACUACGUG
rnacentral:rRNA from 1 species